GAUGAAGAACGCAGCGAAAUGCGAUACUUGGUGUGAAUUGCAGAAUCCCGUGAACCAUCGAGUCUUUGAACGCAAGUUGCGCCUCAAGCCAUUAGGUUGAGGGCACGUCUGCCUGGGCGUCACAUAUCGUUGCCUGAUGCCAGUUUCCUCGUGAUGGGUGACUGUGCAGGGCGAAUGAUGGCUUCCCGUGAGCAUUGUUGCCUCAUGGUUGGUUGAAAAUUGAGUCCUUGGUAGGAGCGCCGUGAUAGAUGGUGGUUGAGUGACGAACGAGACCCAAUCAUGUGAGACCCCUACCGAAUUUGGCCUUCAUGACCCACAUGCGUCUUUGGAACGCUCAUGACGAGACCUCAGGUCAGGCGGGGCUACCCGCUGAGUUUAAGCAUAUCAAUAAGCGGAGGA
rnacentral:misc_RNA from 1 species